rnacentral:misc_RNA from 1 species
CAUAUAUUGAAUAUUGAAUAAUAAUAAUUCAAUGUUUCUUGUUUUUUUAUAUCAAAAAAAAAAAACAAUGAAAUACUUUAUGUGCACUGUAUUCAGGCCGACGAUGUUUUAUUAUUUAAUUAAUUAGACAUAACUCUGCCUGUAUUAAUCUAUAAAAUGAUUAUAAUAAUACUACUACUAAUAAUUAACCUGUUGAUAUUUUGAUGUAAAUUCAAAUUACAAUUCAAAUAA